rnacentral:rRNA from 1 species
UGGGGAAUCUUGCGCAAUGGCCGAAAGGCUGACGCAGCGACGCCGCGUGGGGGAUGAAGGCCUUCGGGUUGUAAACCCCUGUUGCUCGGGACGAACACGCCUUUUCGAGGGCGCUGACGGUACCGGGUGAGGAAGCACCGGCUAACUCUGUGCCAGCAGCCGCGGUAAUACAGAGGGUGCGAGCGUUGUCCGGAAUCACUGGGCGUAAAGGGCGCGUAGGCGGUCCCCUAAGUGUGUGGUGAAAGCUCGGGGCUCAACCCCGAGUCGGCCGUGCAAACUGGGGGACUCGAGCAUGUCAGAGGCAGGCGGAAUUCCGGGUGUAGCGGUGGAAUGCGUAGAGAUCCGGAAGAACACCGGUGGCGAAGGCGGCCUGCUGGGACAUGGCUGACGCUGAGGCGCGACAGCGUGGGGAGCAAACAG